rnacentral:tRNA from 1 species
GGGGAUUUGGCUCAGUGGUAGAGCGCUUGCCUAGCAAGCUCAAGGUCCUGGGUUCGGUCCCCAGCUCCG